rnacentral:lncRNA from 1 species
UGGGACUCCACAACCAAGCUAUUAGUGUUCCCUGAAACAGCCACUCCACACUGUGACUGCUUCGUGUGGACUGAAAACCCUUGCUUGCUGGCUCGGCUGAAAACAUUUGAUGUGCAUCUCCAUAUUCCAUAUCUCUGCAGUGCAUAUGUUGUAAAGUUCCAUAAGUCCAACACAGGAAGUGUCCUGUACAACAUGUCUUUUUUAAGGUGGGAUACUCUGGAAGUAAGGAAUGUCAGGGCAUGUGUGCUAGUGCAAGGGGAUCGGACUGCUGCCUCUUUGCCCCUCCCCACAUCCUGAAAACGCGUCUCUGAUUUACAUGAUGCUUCUGCAGAAGCCAAUAUGCUCUGCAAAGAACUGAAGUCAAAGCUGUGUCUAUAAGAAACAUUGAAGACUAACAGCAAACAAAGAAGGCAAAUGGUCA